UACGGAGGGUGCAAGCGUUAUCCGGAUUCAUUGGGCGUAAAGGGUGCGUAGGUGGUGAUGCAAGUCUGGUGUGAAAUCUCGGAGCUCAACUCCGAAAUUGCACCGGAUACUGCGUGACUCGAGGACUGUAGAGGAGAUCGGAAUUCACGGUGUAGCAGUGAAAUGCGUAGAUAUCGUGAGGAAGACCAGUUGCGAAGGCGGAUCUCUGGGCAGUUCCUGACACUGAGGCACGAAGGCCAGGGGAGCAAACGGG
rnacentral:rRNA from 1 species